rnacentral:rRNA from 1 species
AUUGAACGCUGGCGGCAUGCCUUACACAUGCAAGUCGAACGGUAACAGGUCUUCGGAUGCUGACGAGUGGCGAACGGGUGAGUAAUACAUCGGAACGUGCCCGAUUGUGGGGGAUAACGCAGCGAAAGCUGUGCUAAUACCGCAUAAUCCCUAAGGGGGAAAGCGGGGGACCGUAAGGCCUCGCGCAAUUAGAGCGGCCGAUACCUGAUUAGCUAGUUGGUGAGGUAAAGGCUCACCAAGGCAACGAUCAGUAGCUGGUCUGAGAGGACGAUCAGCCACACUGGGACUGAGACACGGCCCAGACUCCUACGGGAGGCAGCAGUGGGGAAUUUUGGACAAUGGGGGCAACCCUGAUCCAGCAAUGCCGCGUGAGUGAAGAAGGCCUUCGGGUUGUAAAGCUCUUUUGUCAGGGAAGAAACAGCAGCUCUAACACAGUAUGCGAAUGACGGUACCUGAAGAAUAAGCACCGGCUAACUACGUGCCAGCCGCCGCGGUAAGAC